ensembl:miRNA mir-5592.1 ncRNA
CGGCCCUUACCGUUUAAUACAUGUUCCCGGUCGAUGCACCAUGUAUUAAACGGUAAGGGCCGGC